UACAGAGGGUGCGAGCGUUAAUCGGAAUUACUGGGCGUAAAGCGCACGUAGUCGGCUUUGCAAGUCGGGUGUGAAAUCCCCGGGCUCAACCUGGGAACUGCAUCCGAGACUGCAUUGCUAGAGUAUGGGAGAGGGAAGCGGAAUUUCUGGUGUAGCAGUGAAAUGCGUAGAUAUCAGAAGGAACAUCAGUGGCGAAGGCGGCUUCCUGGACCAAUACUGACGGAUCAGGUGGCGAAAGCCAGGGGAGCAAAACGGG
rnacentral:rRNA from 1 species